CGGGACUCCUAUGGUUCAACAGCAGCAGCUCUCAGCAAACACGCAGAAAAGUGAGGCCCUUUCUAGUGUUUUGGAGUAAGCAGUGCCGGCUAAGUCCCAGAUGCUAUAGCUGUGGCUUACAGACACUCCCAUCCCCAGCUGGAGGAUGCUAUGUUAAGGGACUGCCACCUGGCAGCAUCUUCAAGGAACUGCAAAAACGCUAAAGGAGAGAUGGAGGUUGGUGAGUAUCAGCCUACUGGGAGACUUGGAGGUGCACCCAGAAAGGAGAGAUGAGAGUUGAGCCAGACUGGUGCCGACUGAACUACCUGGAGUUAAGAAGCUGCUGCUGUGAUAAAAGACAGUAGGUGGUUGAAGAAGCCUGAGCUAGCUGUACUCUGUCAUUGCCCCUUUUCAGGUAAGAGCUAAGAUCUUGCUUUGUGAAGAUACACGCAGGGAGGCAGGUCCCACUUUGUCCCCACACUCCUAGGAAAGCAGGGAAGACCAGAGGUGACAACUUUACUGAAGAGUGGUGUGGGAUGAAAAGAACAAUAAAUAAUCUCCCUUGGCCAAGACCUAGUAACCCAACUUCUUUAAUUCUGAAGUCUUCAGUAUGGUCCCCUUGCCUGUGCUACCCUUUUUUCUGUCUUGUGACAAGCCAGCAGACAUAACAAGAGCAACUCCGCAGCACACACUCCGGAUGUUCCCCCAAAUAAGUCUCUUGGCCAGCUUGCCUAAAGCUUUCUAAACCAGCUGAGUUUGAAAGCAAGCACACAGUAAGCAGUAAAUAAUUUCUCUAACAUUUCAGAAGACAUCAGUUGUCCUACCCUUUGGAAAGUAUCCUCUGCUGCCCAAUAGCACAGGAAACAAGCUUCCAAACUUUUGUUUGUAAAGAGAGACCUGCAUAAACAAGAAAAAUUUGAGGCUUGGCUUAGCUGAGCCUGAGAGCCUUUUGCCAAUAGUCGCUAUACUUAGUGGGUGAAGGGCCCCUGACCAGCAAAUGAACUCCAGUCAUUACUCUUGGUAAUAGUAAGCUUGGGUUAUCUUUCCAUAAUUUAAGUACAAAUUUUCAUACAGAGAAAAGCUCAAGAGAGAUUGAGAGCUGGAGAGAUCGAGGUCCUUUUCAUUUUUAGAGCCAGCACAAACAGUAGGCUAAGGUCCUGAAAUACACCACUAACGUAUCUUCAGCUCUGGUCACCUCUUAGGACCGUUGCUAGAUGUGACAGCUCAGCUAAGCCUGCUCAGCCAAGAAUGCCCUAUGUGUGCUCAUAUGUUGAGGCUAUGAAGGAUUUUGUCAAUGAAUAUCAAAUCAACAUGGUUUUUUUUUUUCAAGAAAGAUAUGAGAAAAGCUGACACUGAUAUUUACACAAGUCACCAGACAGACACUGACCAGAAGCCAUAGUUGGUGACCUGGAUGUGAAAGUAUCUGUGUACCUCCCCGCAGAUGCCCCAUGCUUCUGAGAUCCCUCUCAUCCCCCAAAAUUUGUAGAGCUGAAUUCAGCAGGGAAGGUC